CUAUAAAGGGGGCUACUUGCCUCCUCCUCUCCCUCUUAUUUCUCUCUUGCUCUCUCUUGUUCCUCCUCUUCUCGUGCCCCUCUUUGUCCCUGUCCCUUCUUUUCCCAUCUCCCCCUUUCCUCCCACGUGCCCAUGGCCAGCCUUUCCUUCUUCUACUACUCUUCUUCUCUCACUAAACCUUUCCACGUGGAACCAUGUUGGCUUGGUGUACCUUGUCUGGGCGCUGGCUGAGAUUUUAAAUACCAACAAUAUGCAGGCUCAGGUCAGCAGGUGUAGAAGUUGUGACUCCAAAAGGAGACACUCAAGAAUCUGAAACAUGUGAUAUCAUCAACAAAGACACCUUCAGCUCAGAGUUCCCAGAAAACACGCCUUGGAAUACGCAAGCCAUCGCAAGUUCGUAUGUUUGUGAUGAACAACUACUGGAAAGGUCCUCCCCUCAAAAAGUUUUGUAAAUCACACAUUCAGCAAGAUCCAACCAAUUUACAAGCUCAACACACACCUUCAACCAUCAGAAGGGCAACUCAGCAUCACCGUGUCACAGUGGACUCCGAGGGACCCUACACCUUAUGAAUGGGCAUUGUCCUCAAGAAGGUGAUGGAAAAUACCAGUGUACUUCAAGUAAUUUCAUACCCAGGAGGCUGCUCUGGCGAGAUGGUUUGGAGCAGUGGAUCCCAGCCUUCCCUAAGGCUGUGACCCUUUAAGGCCUCAUGUUGUGGUGAGCCCCAACCUUAUAAGAUUAUCCCCAUUGCUACUUGCAACAGUAAUUUUGCUGCUGUUAGGAGUGUAAAUGUAUCUGUGUUUUCUGUGGUCAUAGGUGAGCCCUGUAAAAGGAUCAUUCAACUCCCCAGGGUGAGAAUGGCCAAUUCAGAGCCUUUCAUCUUUAACCUCCAGCUCCUUAGAUUGUUCAUGUUUUAAGCCUGAUCAAAAGCAGCCUUUAUGUUUUCCUCCACAUCCCUGGUUAAAUUUUUCUGUUUAAGUCCAAGAGCAAAAAACUCUGCCAUACCUGGAGAGAUCCCCUCCUGGGGUGAUAAACACUUGACUUACGACUUUGUGGGCCAUCCAGAUGCUGAGACAUCAUGCGUCCCAUGGAUGUCGCAUGCACCCACGUCUUCUUCAGAAUGUUAAGCUUCAACCCGAACAACACAAUAAUAAAGACUGUCAGGAGUUCCUCAGUACAGUUAAGACACAUCUUUGGAAAGGAGAAAAAGAAGAACUGCACAGAGAUGUCACUGAUUAAGAAAGAAAAAAAGGUACAGGAAGAACCAGGCGGAGCGACAACAGAAACUGAAGAAGUCACAGGCUUCAGUGGUGGUUUGCACCACCAUAUAUCAUAUGUGAGUCAGGAGAAUGCAGGCAUCUCAUGCCCUAGGAAUUUCCCAUAUUUCUAGGAAAAUACAUCUUCUCCCUCUGCUGGGAACGUGGGGUUCAUCCAGUAGGAAGUGUAAAAGGAGCUCACUGUAAAGCAUAUGGUACAAAGCUACAGGUGGAGAUGAAGAGAUGGCUCAGUGGUCAGAGCGAGUUCAGUCUCCAGCACCUGCUUGGGGCUCACAACUGUCCACUACUCCAGCCCAGAAGAUCCAAUACCCUCCUCUGGCUCCAGCAGGUACUCAGUGCACUCAUAUGGUGCACAUAUAUGCGUUCAGACAUAACACAUAAAAUAAAUUUUAUUUAAAGAAAAAUGCCACAGGCAUGACUGUUGGUGGAUAGUGCCUGUUUGGGUCAUGAAAAGUGAAGUUUCUGUAGGCUUCAGGUUGAGAUCUAGUCUUCUUCUGUGCAAAGUUUCAGGACUGGUUCUUGCUCGGAGUAUUGGAGCUCUCAGGAUGCUUGUGACUUCAGUGACAAUGCCAAUGGAAACUCUAGAGAUGGGCCACGCCCCAGCUAGGGAGAAGGAUCCGCUAAGGAGAAUCUCAAACUGCAAGCAGGGCUGAACCGCACCCCAUACUCUCAUCCCAGGAGUUAGAGGACAUUGAGCUAAGUUCAGGACUAGGAAUUCGUGGUGGGAAUGGGGAGGUAGCAAUCCACAGUGCGGUGAAACACUGAGUCUGCUCCAGAUCUGACUGAUGAUGAUGGAUCCUAUCUAGGUGCUGCUUAAAUGCUUUUCUUUGUUCCACAGUCGAGUCUGGAAACUGUACAGAUGACCAAGGGUCCAGGCAGACAGAGGAUCAAGUCCAGUACCCUGCUGUCUCCCUUAGAGAGGACCCCCUAAAGCCCCGUGGGCUCAGGAAGGGCACACAGGCCCAGGAGAUGAAUCAGUAGGUAAAGUGCUUGUUGCACAAGCAUUUGCCUCUGACUGCAGAUCUCCAGCACCUACAUAGAGGACUGGGACGGCACAGCGUACAACUGGAUCCCAGCCCAGGGCGGGGAUGAGGAGCAAUAGGGUGGUCUGAACAUUUGCCAUCCCGCAGGAUUUGUCUAUCCCCGAGCUCCACGUCCAGCAAGAGACUCUGUCUCAAAUAAAUAAAAUGUGAAGUCUUUGUCUUGCUCACACACAAAACAGGCACACACACACACACACACACACACACACACACACACACACAGGUGCACACACAUGCAUACGCCACACAAGAAAAAAAGAAAGCAGAGAUUAGGCAGGAGGGCUUUUCACACCUGCACUUGCAGCACUUGGAAGGUAGGACCUGGGGCUGAGGGAUGUAGGGUCACCCUCAGCCCCACACAUGGUCUGAGUUCAUCGUAGGCUAUGUGAGACCCUGUCUUGAAAACAUCCCACAAAAACAAACAGAAAGCCACUGCUGGUUAGAAAACCAAGAACCCAUGGCCACGAAUGAUAGCACACGAGACUGAAAAGUAAGUGUAAUAACAGUAAAAAGAAAUUGUGGAAAAAUAGAAAAAGCAACUAUUAUAUAAAUCUUAAAGGAGGGAAGCUGGAGGUGGGGGAAGAAGGUAAACAAGAAAGAAAAAUUUUCAGAACAGCUUUGAGUAAUAGAACAAUAGAGCAACUGCUUAAGUCUGACAAAAUGAACCAAACGGUUAACAUAGCAAACACAGUACAGCAUAGGGGGCUGGCUAGUGUUUGCCUAGCUCUGGCCUCCGUACACACCCACACACAUACAAAGAUGCUCAGACAAACUCACGUAUGCACCCACACAAGCGUGUAUAUACACCACAUUCCGAAAAGUAAAAGAGAAAGUAGAAAUCUCAAUAAAAGCUUAUGUUGACUCCGUGUUGGAAUAUUAAAUGGAUUUAAAUUGGAUAAACUAAUUUGACAUACUUCCAGAGAUUAUUUUUAUGUGACUCCAUGAAGUUUUUGAUUGCAUACAGAGCUCGAAUAUUUCAGUUAGACAAUGAUCUAUGUAGCUCCUUAAGGAAAGCUGAAGCACC
rnacentral:lncRNA from 1 species